ACUGACUAGGCCGGCGUUGGGUGGAAUAGGCAGCGGCUGGAAGGCCCGCACGCCGCCCUCGGCCCGCCGCGGCGCGCAGACCCCGGCGUGCAGACAUGCGCGCUAGGGCCGGUGUCACCGGGCUGCCGCCUGAGCCGCGCUGCGCGUGCGCAGGGCAGCGUGGCCGUCACCGCCGCCGGUGGAAGUUUCCGAGCAGCCGGGCGGGGGCAGCGGACGCCACCGCAGGCGCUUCCCCCGCCGGCCGGCCCUCCCUCCUGACGUAAGGGCGGGCCCCGGUCGCAGAUCCCGCCCCAGGUCUCUCAUCCGAGGGUCCGUGCAGCAGGUCACGCUGCGCUCUCUGGGGUCCGCGCGUCGGCCCACGUGCUCCCUGCACCUCGCGGGGUGAGCGGCCAGCGUGCCGUGCCGGGUGGCUGGCUCCGCCGCUCCGGAGCCGGGAAGGACACGCGGCAGAGUCCUGCUCCCUAGCGGGUCUGCUUACAGGCGUUUGGUUUGCUUUUUAAAAUGAUUUUCUAUGCGAAAAGUGAAGUGAAAACUUCCAAGUUAAUUCCCUGGGCAAAAUGGGCAGUGCUAGCCGAGGAACGGCUGGUGGGCGGCGCGUCCGGCCCCCGGCUUCGGUUUUUCCAGCUGCACCGAGCGGGCAGGAGUCAGUGGGAAACCGCCCGCCAUCCACAGCCUGCCGUUUGCCAUCCCGGUGUCCCGAGCGCGAUGGAAGCCGGGUUGACAGUGGCACUGUUUGGAAUACAGCGCCAACCACACAUCCUGUGAGGUCCAAAGCAAACGCCAGUGUCGUUGAUCAUCGCGGUGCCCCGCGAGCCUGGGCGACGUGAGGCCCCGCGGCUGCCGCCCUGUCUUCAGGCGGAGUCCCCGCAAAUGCACUCCCGGGCCAGGGCCCUGAAGCUGCCUUAGCCCAGUGGCGCCCGGGCUCCAAGCCUUUUAAGUAGAACGGGACCUGGCCUUCGUACAGGCGUGUUGUAAAUGCUACCCCCUCGUCUCCAGCACAGAUGAGUAGACAUUACUAAGCACUUGACCCUUCAAACAUCGCCCCAACAGGAAAGGUCCGUGUGUUGCAUACAAAGGCUUUGGGGCAAGUGGUGGUGGUUAGUAAUGAAAAUGAAUGUUUCAGACGUUUUCAAAUACCUUCAUAUUGUACACGUGGAAAUCAUGACCAAGGAUUAGAACGUGCAUUCAGUAAACUACAGAAAAUCACACACAAGUCAAACGGCCGUUAUUCUGGAGCUGUUUGCUUCCAAUGGCUCAGUCCAAAAUCCUUGGUCAUGCCUGGCUCCUCUCUCUGUCCACAAUGAACACAUCCUCUUGGCUCCACUGCCCGAAACAACCAGAACCCAACUGCUACCCCUCCUCCUCCCUCCACCCCUCUUUCCCCGCCACCCGUCCAUUUUAAAGCAGUGCCUUCUAGCUGGUUUCCCACAUUCUGCACAGCUGCUCGUGUGAUCCUUUUUAAAAAACAAAAAAGAUGUUACUAUUUUAAAAAUCAUCUCAUGCCACUCUUAGAAUACUAUGCAGCCGUAAAAAGGAAUGAGAUCAUGACCUUUGUGGGGACAUGAAUGGAGGUGGAAGCCACUAUCCUCAGCAAACUAACACAGGAACAGAAAACCAAACACCGCAUGUUCUCAGUAAUAAGGGGGAGCUGAGCAAUGAGAAUGCAUCGACACAGGGAGGGGAACAACACACACCGGGACCUGUUGGGGGUUAGGGGAAGGGAGAGCAUCAGGAUAAAUAGCUAAUGCAUGCAGGGCUUAAUGCCUAGGUGAUGGGUUCACAAGUGCAGCAAACCACCAUGGCACACAUUUACCUAUGUAACAAACCUGCACGUCUUGCACGUGUAUCCCAGAAUUUAAAGUUGACAUUUUAAAAAAUUCAGUCCAUGCCACUCCUCUGCUCAAAACCCUCCAGUGGCUUUCUCAUUCAGCAAAAUGGAACAACCUUGCUAUGACCUGCAAGUCCCUUAUCCCCUGGUCCUUCCCCUCUUCCCCUGCCCUCACCUCCCAGCGCUUUCCCUAGCCCAAACAAUACCAGCCAGAAGCACCCCUGGCACACUCCUGCCUCAGGGCCUUUGCACUUGCUGUUCCAUCUGCCUGACAUGCGUUCCCUCCUCCCCAUCUUAGUGAGGACGUCCAAGUGGCUCUUUAGUCUAAACUGCAAACAUAACCCUCAGCAUCCCGUUUCCCUUCCCCAUUUGCUUUUUCUCCCUUAGUUUCCUGGAGCUGAGUAACAAAAUGUCACAAACUGGGUGGCUUAAAACAACAAACGCAUGCUCUCACAGUCCUAGAGGCUGAACGUCCAAAAUCAAGUUGUCAGCAAGGCCGUGUAUCCUCUGAAGGCUGUAAGGGAGUGUGCCCCAUGCUCUCCUCUCAGCUUCUGGUGUUGCUGGCAAACCGUGGCAUUCCUUGGCUUGUUGGUGCAUCACCCCACUCUCUGACACGUCAUCGCAUGACGUUUCCCUGUGUCCUUGAUUUGUGGAUGCAGCGCUCCACUCUCUGUCAUCAUCAUCGCAUGGCAUUUUCCCUGUGUCCAUGUCUCUUCUCAGAAAGACACCAGUGGCAUUGGAUUAGGGCACCCUAGUGUCUUCCUCCUAACCUGAUUACAUCUGCAAAGAGUUUCCAAAUAAGGUCAUAUUCGCAGGCACCCAGGGUUGGGACUUGAUCAUAUCUUUUUGGGGGACACUAUACCACGUCAUAUGUAUUUUAUCUCAUUUAUCAUUUGUGUCCCCCGCCCCAUUAGAAUGCAUGCUCCGUGAAGAGAGGAUAGGAAUGGCUUGUCCCUGCUGUGUAUCAGCUCAAGGAUUGUCUGACACAUCAGUCCUUGGUGAACAUUGGCAGAAUGACUGGCAGCUGAUUGAUUGGCCCAGCGGGAAUGGACACGGGCAGUUGCCCUUGUCCAGCUUCCAGGAUCUGUUACACAGGUUGUCAUUGUUUAGGUAUUUUAAGUUUUUCUUGAUUGCCUCAUACUCUGUCUUUGCAGUUUGCCUCUAGCUAAUCCUCGUUGAUUUGAUCCACCAGCCACCAAACAACAUUUUGUAAUUAAAACCAAGGUUUUGUUAUUUAUAUAUGAUCAUAAAUAUUUUUAUGUAAAUUAAAAGCAGUGUAUAUAUAUGUAUAUAUACACAUAUACAUAUAUAUACAUAUGUGUAUAUAUAUGUAUAUGUGUAGAGAGAGAAAGAGAGAGAGAGUCUCACUCUGUCACCCGGGCUAGAGUGCAGUAACGCAAUCCUGGCUCACUGCAACUUCCGCCUCCAGAGUUUAAGUGAUUCUCAUGCCUCAGCCUCCUGAGUAGCUGGGGUUACAGGUGUGUGCCACCGCAUCCGGCUAAUGUUUGUAUUUUUAGUAGAGAUGGGGUUUCACUGUGUUGGCCAGGCUAGCCUUGAACCCCUGACCUCCAGUGAUCCACCCACCUCAGCCUCCCAAAGUGCUGGGAUUACAGGCAUGAGCCACCGUGCCCGGCUGCAGUGUAUUUCUUAAUGCAAUCAAGAAACAAUACUGAAUGUAAAAUGCAGUUUUUGAGACGCUGGGCAAGGGAGAUCUUUCUCUUUAUCAAUUUCUACAGAUAAGUGCAGCCCAUUCCCGUUUUGGGCUGAAACCCUCUCCUCUCUCUCUUCGGAUAUUGGAGGAGGAAUAAUAUUAGAGAUUACACCAUGAUUUUAGUGAUUUGUUCCCAUGAAAAAAAUGGUUUACAAAGUGUAUUCCAUGGACUACCCAUGCCAGAAUUAGCAAUGCUGGUCAAAAUGCAGAUACCUAGAGCUCACCCAAUUUACUGAAACUCUCUAGGAGCAAGCCCAGGAAUCUCUAUUUUAAGUAAAUUUUCUGAGUAAUUCUAAAACACAGUGAACUCUGAAAACCUCUACCUAAAACAGGGUUCCCAAAUUCAAUUGCUCACAGGUGCCAAAUAACUGAAAGUGUGUAGGUAUUAGCUACUGCUGGGUAAGAAGCCACCCCAAGCUUAGUGGCUUAAAAUAAGUGUUUGGUAUUGCUCACAAGUCUACAAAUCAACUAGGUGGUUUUGCUGCUCUGGGUCAAACACAGCUGAUCUUGCUCCACUCAGCUGGCCAAUCAGCUGAAGGCUGGCUGGGCUAGAGUAGCCUGGCUGGCAGCUGGGGCACUGGAGUUGACAGAGUUGACAAGGACCAUCAGUCUCUUGUUAUCCAACAGGCUGACUCAGGCUUGUUCUCAGGUGGCUGAACAGAGUUUCAGGAGUGCAAGCAGACAUGCAUGAGGCUCAGAACCGGCAUGCCAUCACUUCCUUACCAUUCUGUGAGACAAAGCAAGUGGCAAGGCCUUGACAAGUCAAGGAGUGGGAAAGAAGCCUCCACCUCUUGAUGGAAGGAGCUGCAUCAUAUUGCAAGCGGUGUGGGGCACUGGAAGGGGGAGAAUGGGGGAUGAAUUAUGCUAACCUCUACUUCUGUUAUCACAUGACAUCCUCCCCUGUGUAUCUCUCUAUGCCUUCUCUUCUUGUAAGGACAUCAGUCAUUGGAUUUGGGGCCCACUCUAAAUCCAGGAUGAUUUCAUCUGAAGAUUCUUAACUGAUUAUACCUCCAAAGACCCUAUUUCCAAAUAAGGUCUUGUUCUGACAUUCUGGGUGGACACUAGGAGGUUGCAUAGUCUCCUCCCAAAAUUCACCCAGAAUUUUGGGAAGACCACUUUGCAACCUACUACAGAGGCUUAAAUAAAACAAGAAAGUUAUUUUGCUCCCGUAAUAAGAAAUCCAGCAAGAAAGGGCCAUUGGCAUGGUGGCCCAGUGUCCCAGGAUGUCCGAGCUGACCUGUCUGACAUUCCCCUGGCCUUCACCUAAAGGCUGCUCUGGGUCCAUCCCUCAUGUCCACAGGAAGGAGGUGGGGGAAGAAGGACAGUGUCUGCUGUCUGUGACCCUUUGUAUCAGAAAAGCAAACUUUUUCCAAGAAACCUCACGUUAGAUUUGUCCUCAAAUCUUGUUGAUUAGAGCUAGUUAUAAGGCCACCCCAACUGCGAGAGAGUCUGAGAAAUUAAGACACAUGAUGAGACACAGAAUGAUCAUGAAUGACCUAAACCAAUCGUGAGCCAUUGUUUGUGCUUGACUUAUGACCAUGUUGAAAAAAACUGGGUCUGUUAGUAAAGAAGCAGGAAGUGGGUCUCAUGUCCUGCCAGUGUCUGCCACCUGCAAUCUCUUCUGAAUUCAGUCCAUACGAGUCUGUUUCUGAGAGCCUGCAAAGACCCUGUUUCCAAACAAGGUCUUGUUCUGAGAUUCUGGGUGAACGUGAAUUUUGGGAGGACACUUUUUGGCCUGCUACAGAGGCUUGAAUGUUCUGACGAAAUCUAGUUUUUGACCUUGAAUAGAGUAGCCCCACCAAGAGAAUACAACCCACAAGAAAUGCCUCUUCUUUCCAACCACUCUAGAGCAGGAUUGUCAACCAGAGCUGACUGUGUCUCCCAGGGCACAUGUGGCCACGUCUGGAGACGCUUUGGAUUGUCACGACUAGGGGUAGUUGCUGGGCCCCAGCGUCAAGCACAUACAGGUGACAAAUUCCGUCUCUGAGUGAGGGCCCAAAGAAGCUCUCAGCUCAAUAAACGGAGAUGUGUGUGAUGUACACACAUGUGCAGGGUACUAGUGGGAGACAGGGCAAGGGAACCUAGAGGUGUUGCUGGACUGAUCCUAGAAGAUGCAGAGUAUUAGCCUAACAGAGGAAGGACAUUCCAGGAUGAGAAAUGUCUGGAGACACAGCCCUGAGGACAGAAAUUCCCCAGGGCUCUCAGUGGCCAGGGGCCAAGCAUGGCAGCAGAAAUCCAAUGUGAGGCUGUUGGCCAAAGCCAGGCACAGGAAGGGUGUGCCAUGGUCAGCACUUUUGGGGGUACCAUUAAAAGAUGUACCCCAAAGAGGGGUAUGGUCUAACAUGCGUUUUAAGAAAAGUUCACUUUGUCUUAACAGAUGGAAUUAUGAGAGGCCAAGAUUGAAGAUGGAGGUAAAGGUUGGGGGGAUGGCCUUUUGAGAGAAAUAGAAAAUCAGUAAUGGGCACAGUAUUAGGUAUGCAAAGGAUUAUUUAGGAGAAAAUAAAUUAGGGUCAGUUAUUGUAGUUGCUAUAAGAAGCGAUCUCAAAUCAGAGUGGCAUCACAUGUUAAGAGUUUAUUUCUUAUUCACUUCCCAGUCCACUGUGGGCCUGCAUGGGGCCUGGGGUAUGGGGAAGGAGAACUCUGCUCCACACAGUCAUUCAGGAAUCCUGGCUCUUUCAGGCAGAAGUUCUGCCAUUCCCUUGGGCCCUGGAGUUUUCAGCUAGUUCUCUGCAGAGGGCCAGCAAAGGGGUGAGGGGAAGAAAUAGGAUGGAGCAUCCUGCAGGAGGUUUAGGGUCCAGGUCUGGGGGGUGGCCAGCACAUCACUCACAUGCAUAUUUUGGUGGCCAGAACUCAGACAUGUGGCCCCAUCUAACUUGAGGGAGGCUGGACUAUAUAGUCCAGCUGAGAGCCCAGAACAAAAAGGAACUGGGUCUGGCAAACACAGCACACUGACUUUGCCACAACAUGUUUCGGAGGUAAAAUCUUUGGGGGCUCAGUAAUUGAUUCAACGUGGAAGAAGGAGAGAGGAAAGUUCAGAGAGCUUCCAGGUUUCCACCAGGGAGGUCGGAACAGGUUGCCUUAGAUGGUGACCGCAGGAGCCACUGCCUGAGCAAGGAAGAUGGUGCAUUCAUUUUAAAAUCGCUGUGUAGCUUAACAUUCACUGCCCGUAUUAACAUGUGUCCUGCAUUCCAUUUAUUGGAGAAAUGUUUCUUUUUCUUUAUUUUUUAAAUGAAUAUAAUUUACAAUGUAAAAGGUCAAAUAAAAUGAAAGUGAAACAGAAAAAUCCUCACUUUUCAAUAUUCCUUUCUCAUCUAAUGAAGACCCCUUCCCUUCUCUAUUUCUCCCGGCUCCCUGCCUUAGGCCUAAAGCAACAACCAGAAGCCUUCCUGGGUGUUUACAUUACAGCACACCAGACUGCAGGCACCGCCACCCCAGACUCUGCCUGCAGCUAAAGUCACCAAGUUUGCCGUGCCCCAUAACUGAGGUCAUUGGCAGCCCAGCACCAAGCCUCACUGGCAUCAAGGGCAGCGGGUUAGUAAGCAUGGCUCCACACGGGUAAGCAGUUCUAGGAAAUGGGAAGAAACCCAGACCAUCCAUCUCAGGGUAAGUUUGCUGGAUUUUCUCUCUCUUUUAAGAGUCUUUCAACAGGGCAUACAGCCCAUUCUCAAAUUUAGAUUUCUGUUUUUGUUAAGAACAGGGACUGUGGAACGAAUUUGCCUGACUUUGCCAUCAUUCUGCCAUUUCCUAGCUAUGUGGCCUCAGGCAAACUGAUUAAACUUACUGGCCUCAGAAUGGGGAAAAUUUCUGUAACUCAUGCCUGGAAUUACGUGAAGAUGAAAAGCAGGCAUGUCCAUGAGAUGCUUACAAGAGGGACCAGCGCCGUGUACCUAUUCUGUGCAUCCUACCCGUCCACUGUUCCUUCUCCGUGUUUCUUGAAGAAGCUGGAGUUUUCUUUCAGUCUUCUGCUUCUCCUGUUGCUUCCUCUAACUGAAGGAAGAAUCAGUCCAUGGCUUCUGCUCCAUGCUUUCUGCUCUUGGUUCAGGCUCCAACUUUCCCAUUAAUGGAAGAGAAUGGCUCUCCUGCUCCCAGCUGUAAUGAACUAAUUAAUUUUUCUAUCUCUCUAAUCAUUCUCUAUUCCCUGCCAAACCCUCUGGGUGUCUGUUUUGUUCUAUUGUUCAAGCCUGGACUUUGAGGGUAGGCUGGGGGCAUUGCUAGUCCCCACAAUUGCUAAUCCAGGCACUUGAGUCAUUAUCUUCUAUACAUCACACUUAACAACCAGAGGGAAGUGCAACCUCGUGGGCCUCGGAAAGGAAACCACCCACAGACUUGUGCGCCUUCUUCGCAGGCCAGGCUCUCCUUCCCCCAUGGUAAGAAGGUGAAGACUUGGAGAUUGGUGAGUCAGGCAAUCAAGGUCAAAUUGACAUACUCUAGAAGAUUACAUGCCGUGUGGAACAGUACUGGGCAGUGGACCCACUGGGACAGGGGCUCAGGAGGCUAUGGCAGUCCCGCAGGAGAUUCUGGAGGUAUUCUGUAGAUGUCAGUAAAGGAGAUUACCCCGGAUAAUGUGGU
rnacentral:lncRNA from 10 species